rnacentral:lncRNA from 1 species
GUGGGAGCAGCCCAGCUCCCGCUCCAUCCCGAGGUCACCUGCUGCGGCAUCUUCUCGGGCGCGGUGAGGCCAGUGCGGCCCCUGGAGCGCGGAGACGCCUCCCGAGCCCUGGGCCCCGCGGGGGAGGCCCUGGGCCUGGGCCGGAGGAGCUCGCCUGGCACUGCCUGGGGCUGCUCUUGGGGACCUGGUCGUGAAGCCGCCACUGCCCACCCUAGCCUAGGGCUGCUGCUCUGGUUGCUUCCAUAAAAAGAAAGUGGAACCGGAAUAAAGAAGAAGAUGAGAAGGAGAAGGAGGAAACGACGAAGCAGCAGCAGCAGCAGCGGAGCAGCGGCGGCGGUGGCCUGGAAGAGCCAUGCCUGAAGGUCUGGGGCGACUGUGGUCUGAGAACCAGCNGGCCCUGCUGCUCUGGUUGCUUCCAUAAAAAGAAAGUGGAACCGGAACGAAGAAGAUGAGAAGGAGAAAAUGACGAAGCAGCAGCAGCAGCGGAGCAGCGGCGGCGGCGGCCUGGAAGAGCCAUGCCUGAAGGUCUGGGGCGACUGUGGUCUGAGAACCAGCAACCCCCCAGCCGCAGCCUCCGCCUGAACGACAGCAAGUGGCCCGAGGAUGCGCCCACCUGCCUCGGGAACUGGCGUGGGGCCUCUUCGGCCUCCCGACACAGCCUGUGCCUUCCUACCGCCUUGACUCAGUCUACGUGUCCCCUCUGCCUCCCUCCCCUGCCUGAGAAAGGUGGUUGAGGACCAUGGAGAAGGACACACCGGCUUCCCCUCCUCUCAAGACCUGAAACAAGCUUGACUCAAGGAUGCAAGGAGUCAGCCUGGAACAAGUGGGGAAAUGGUCCUGGUACAAGUGAGGCAAGGCUUGGAGGCAAGAGCUUUCCAUCUUUACUGGUGUGUUACUCUCUGAUCUCCCCCAUUUUUGACUGUGUGGCCCUGAGUUGACAAUUAAGCACACCUUAGCAUAUUUCCUUAUUUUAAAAAAUGGAAUUAUUAUUGGCACAUGGAAGGAACUUAAGGGAGGAGCUCUUUUUUUUUUUUUUUUUUUAAAAUUUUUUUUUUUUUAGAUUUUAUUUAUUUAAUCAUGAUGAGAGAGAGAGGCGGAGACACAGACUCAAUCCUGGGACUCCAGGAUUAGGCCCUGGGCCAAAUGCAGGCACUAAACUGCUGAGUCACCCAGGGAUCCCUGGAGUGAGCUCCUUUUAAUGGAUUUAUCUCAAAGUUAUGUCAAGGUCAAAAGAUGACCCAUUUCUUCUUUCUGAACAUUCUCUCUCACCUUACAUAAACUGAUAUAUAAGAUCAAAAUAAAGGUCUUCUCAAACUCA